rnacentral:misc_RNA from 1 species
AUACCUGUUCGAGCGUCAUUACACCUCUCAAAGUUAACUCUUUGGCGUUGGGCAAUGCCUAGAGGCAUGCCUCAAAAUCAGCGAUGGUGAUAUUCAACCACAGGCGCACACACGUCGUCUAGCUGGCGGGAUGUUGUCAGUCAAUUGAUGAAUUUCUCAAUGUUGACCUCGGAUCAGGUAGGAUUACCCGCUGAACUUAA